GGCAUUGUGGCUGAGUGGUAAAGCGAUUGGCUUCCAAGCCGGGGGUUCUGGGUUCAAAUCCCGGUGAAGACU
rnacentral:tRNA from 1 species